rfam:Ovis aries breed Texel chromosome 16, whole genome shotgun sequence.
UCCUUUAUAGCUCAGUUGGUAAAGAAUCUGCCUGCAAGGCAGGAGACCCAGGUUUGAUUCUUGGAUCAGGAA